rnacentral:rRNA from 1 species
UACGAAGGGGGCUAGCGUUGCUCGGAAUUACUGGGCGUAAAGCGCACGUAGGCGGAUUGUUAAGUCGGGGGUGAAAUCCUGGAGCUCAACUCCAGAACUGCCUUCGAUACUGGCGAUCUCGAGUUCGGGAGAGGUGAGUGGAACUGCGAGUGUAGAGGUGAAAUGCGUAGAUAUCUGGAGGAACACCGGUGGCGAAGGCGGCAUCCUGGACCGAUAUUGACGCUGAGGCGCGAAAGCCAGGGGAGCAAACGGG